rnacentral:piRNA from 1 species
UAUCUAGGUAACCUUCUGACAACUUCAGU